rnacentral:rRNA from 1 species
UACGUAGGGGGCAAGCGUUGUCCGGAAUUAUUGGGCGUAAAGAGCGUGUAGGCGGUCCGGUAAGUCAGCUGUGAAAGUCAAGGGCUCAACCCUUGAAAGCCGGUUGAUACUGUCGGGCUAGAGUCCGGAAGAGGCGAGUGGAAUUCCCGGUGUAGCGGUGAAAUGCGCAGAUAUCGGGAGGAACACCAAUGGCGAAGGCAGCUCGCUGGGACGGUACUGACGCUGAGGCGCGACAGCGUGGGGAGCAAACAGG